rnacentral:rRNA from 1 species
GAUGAACGCUGGCGGCGUGCCUAAUACAUGCAAGUCGAACGGACAGACGAUGAGCUUGUGCCGUUGACGUUAGCGGAGGACGGGUGAGUAACACGUGGAUAAUCUACCUAUAAUUCGGGGAUAAUUACGGGAAACGGGAUCUAAUAGCGGAUAAUAUAUUGAACCGCAGGGUGCAAUGGUAAAUGACGGCUUUGGGGUAUGGUAUAGAGGGUUCCGCGCCGUAUUAGCUGGUUGGUAGGGUAACAGCAUACCAAGGCAACGAUGCGUGGCAGAGCGCAGGGGGGGAUCGGCCACCAUGGAACUUGGCCACGGUCAAUGCUCCUACGGGACGCAGCAGUAGGGAAUCUUCGGCAAAGGGGGGAAACAUGGCGCAACAACGCCGCGUCAGUGAUAGAAGUCUUCCGAUCGGAAAACUCUGCUAUUAGGGAAAAACAAGUGUCUCCUUAACCAUGCACGGCUUGACGGUAACUAAUAAAAAAGCCACGGCUAACUACGUG